CGGUAAUUCCAGCUCCAAUAGCGUAUACUAAUGUUGUUGCAGUUAAAAAGCUCGUAGUCGGAUUUCAUGUAGAGAAGUAUAUUUGGCCCUUUGGGUUACAAAGAAACCAUCUCUGCAUUCUUUUGCUGUUACUGCGUUCUCUCACUUCAUUGUGCGAAACGUAUGUUCGGCAUCUUUUACUUUGAGAAAAUUAGAGUGUUCAAAGCAGACAUUUUUGUCUUGAAUAUUACUCAUGGAAUAAUAAUAUAUGACUUCGGUCUUCCUUUGUUGGUGUUUGUAGGCUGGAGUAAUGAUUGAUAGGGACAGUUGGGGUCAUUAGUACUCCUUAGCGAGAGGUGAAAUUCUUAGACCUUAGGAAGACUAACUACUGCGAAAGCAUUUGACAAGGAUGUUCCCGUUGAUCAAGAACGAAAGUUGAGGGAUCGAAGACGAUCAGAUACCGUCGUAGUCUCAACCAUAAACUAUGCCAGCUAGGGAUUGGGAGAGGCCUAAAUUUUCAAAGACUCUCUCAGCACCUUAUGAGAAAUCAAAGCAUUUGGGUUCCGGGGGGAGUAUGGUCGCAAGGCUGAAACUUAAAGGAAUUGACGGGAGGGCACCACCAGGAGUGGAGCCUGUGGCUUAAUUUGAUUCAACACGGGAAAACUUACCAGGUCCGGACAUAGUAAGGAUUGACAGAUUGAAGCUCUUUCUUGAUUCUAUGGGUGGUGGUGCAUGGCCGUUCUUAGUUGGUGGAGUGAUUUGUCUGGUUAAUUCCGUUAACGAACGGGACCUCAGCCUGCUAAAUAGUUAGCUCGAUCAUUGAUCGUGUUACACUUCUUAGAGGGACUACUUUGGGUUUACCAAGAGGAAGCAUGAGGCAAUAACAGGUCUGUGAUGCCCUUAGAUGUUCUGGGCCGCACACGGGCUACACUGGUGGCAUCAACAAGCAUGUAUCCUAGACCGACAGGUCUGGGUAAUCUUUUAAAUGUCACCGCGCUUGGGAUAGAAGGUUGCAAUUGUCCUUCUUCAACGAGGAAUUCCUAGUAAACGUAAGUCAUCAGCUUACAUUGAUUACGUCCCUGCCCUUUGUACACACCGCCC
rnacentral:rRNA from 1 species